GCCAAGUACAUACAUGAGAAUAUACUUAAUCUAGGAAGGGGAACAUGCUUUUAAAGGGUCAUCUUUUACAUUAACUACAUCCAUUGGGACUUCAUUGUCCUCAUGAGUGUUAGAAGGAACUGUUUGAACCACAUGUACCUUAGAAUUGGGGGAAUCAUUGCUGCCUGGGGUCAUAGCCUCAGAAACAACUGAAAUUCUUUCAACUGCGGUAGAUUCAUCAUCUGAAGAAUCAGAUUCAUUUACCCUUUCUGGAAGUGCUUGAGACUCAUCUUUAGAUUUCUUUGGUUUACAAGAAAUAACUUGUUUCAAGCCUCGAGCCGAUUUUCCUGCUUGUUUCAAAAAACUCUUUGCCACAUCCUUCGCAUGUCCCUUUGCAGGGGUUUCAGAACCACUCUCUUCAAUUGAUACCCUUUCUUCUUGAACCUUAGGAGUUGGAAAGUCAGAAAUGUUCUCAUCCAUGACAAACUUCACACCAAUCAUCCCCUUAGAAUUCAUUGACCUAAUGUUAUCAUGUGGAGAUAGAUAGUCCUCUUGAACAGGCUCCUCCCCUUUAUUUCGGUGGAAUACUGAACCAAUCUUGUGCAGGCCCCUCCUAAACGAUCUCAGGCGGUGCUUUUCUUCAGGAUUGUUAUCAGAACUGCUGCUGUCAUUGUUAAAGGAUCCAGAUUCAGUUGAUCUACCGCUGCCAACUAAAUCAUUAGGUUCUCCAUGAAUUUCAGUAUCAAGGCGCCGACUUUUCCCUUUCCUAGGCUCCCACCUUUGGGAAACUUCACUUCCUGGGUGAUGAACCCAAACUCCUGUCUGCUUUUGUCCUUCGAUGUCUAUAGGCUCAUAGUUAUCUGCCACCUUCUGAGAUUUUUCAGGUGGAACAUGUGAAGAGGAACUAUUAUCAGCAGUGU
rnacentral:sRNA from 1 species